rnacentral:rRNA from 1 species
UGCAGUCGAACGGUGAAGGCGGAGCUUGCUCUGCUGGAUCAGUGGCGAACGGGUGAGUAACACGUGAGCAAUCUGCCCCUGACUCUGGGAUAAGCGCUGGAAACGGCGUCUAAUACUGGAUACGAGCUGCGAAGGCAUCUUCAGCAGCUGGAAAGAAUUUCGGUCAGGGAUGAGCUCGCGGCCUAUCAGCUUGUUGGUGAGGUAAUGGCUCACCAAGGCGUCGACGGGUAGCCGGCCUGAGAGGGUGACCGGCCACACUGGGACUGAGACACGGCCCAGACUCCUACGGGAGGCAGCAGUGGGGAAUAUUGCACAAUGGGCGAAAGCCUGAUGCAGCAACGCCGCGUGAGGGACGACGGCCUUCGGGUUGUAAACCUCUUUUAGCAGGGAAGAAGCGAAAGUGACGGUACCUGCAGAAAAAGCGCCGGCUAACUACGUGCCAGCAGCCGCGGUAAUACGUAGGGCGCAAGCGUUAUCCGGAAUUAUUGGGCGUAAAGAGCUCGUAGGCGGUUUGUCGCGUCUGCUGUGAAACCCCGAGGCUCAACCUCGGGCCUGCAGUGGGUACGGGCAGACUAGAGUGCGGUAGAGGAGAUUGGAAUUCCUGGUGUAGCGGUGGAAUGCGCAGAUAUCAGGAGGAACACCGAUGGCGAAGGCAGAUCUCUGGGCCGUAACUGACGCUGAGGAGCGAAAGGGUGGGGAGCAAACAGGCUUAGAUACCCUGGUAGUCCACCCCGUAAACGUUGGGAACUAGUUGUGGGGUCCAUUCCACGGAUUCCGUGACGCAGCUAACGCAUUAAGUUCCCCGCCUGGGGAGUACGGCCGCAAGGCUAAAACUCAAAGGAAUUGACGGGGACCCGCACAAGCGGCGGAGCAUGCGGAUUAAUUCGAUGCAACGCGAAGAACCUUACCAAGGCUUGACAUAUACGAGAACGGGCCAGAAAUGGUCAACUCUUUGGACACUCGUAAACAGGUGGUGCAUGGUUGUCGUCAGCUCGUGUCGUGAGAUGUUGGGUUAAGUCCCGCAACGAGCGCAACCCUCGUUCUAUGUUGCCAGCACGUAAUGGUGGGAACUCAUGGAAUACUGCCGGGGUCAACUCGGAAGGAAGGUGAGGAUGACGUCAAAUCAUCAUGCCCCUUAAGGUCUUGGGCUUCACGCAUGCUACAAUGGGCCGGUACAAUGGGGCUGCAAUACC